UACGGGGGGGGCAAGCGUUGUUCGGAAUUACUGGGCGUAAAGGGCUCGUAGGUGGCCAACUAAGUCAGACGUGAAAUCCCUCGGCUUAACCGGGGAACUGCGUCUGAUACUGGAUGGCUUGAGUUCGGGAGAGGGAUGCGGAAUUCCAGGUGUAGCGGUGAAAUGCGUAGAUAUCUGGAGGAACACCGGUGGCGAAGGCGGCAUCCUGGACCGUCACUGACGCUGAGGAGCGAAAGCCAGGGGAGCAAACGGG
rnacentral:rRNA from 1 species